rnacentral:tRNA from 1 species
AUGAUAUUAGUAUAAUAAGUACAUUUAUCUUCCAAAUAAAAAGUCUAUUUUAGAUAUCAUA